CCUACGGGCGGCAGCAGUGGGGAAUAUUGCGCAAUGGGCGAAAGCCUGACGCAGCGACGCCGCGUGAGGGAUGAAGGUCUUCGGAUCGUAAACCUCUGUCAGCAGGGAAGAACGGUCACUGUGCUAAUCAGCAGUGAAUUGACGGUACCUGCAAAGGAAGCACCGGCUAACUCCGUGCCAGCAGCCGAGGUAAUACGGAGGGUGCGGGCGUUAAGCGGAAUUACUGGGCGUAAGGCGCGGGUAGGUGGUAUGUCACGUCAAGGGUGAAAUCCCCGCGCUCAACGUGGGAACUGCCUUUGAAACUGGCAAACUUGAGUGUGUGAGAGGAUAGUGGAAUUCGAGGUGUAGGAGUGAAAUCCGUAGAUAUCUGGAGGAACAUCAGUGGCGAAGGCGACUAUCUGGCACAUAACUGACGCUGAGGAGCGAAAGCGUGGGUAGCAAACAGGAUUAGAUACCCCUGUAGUC
rnacentral:rRNA from 1 species